UACGGGGGGGGUAAGCGUUGUUCGGAAUUACUGGGCGUAAAGGGCUCGUAGGCGGCCAACUAAGUCAGACGUGAAAUCCCUCAGCUUACUCGGGUGAACUGCGUCUGAUACUGGAUGGCUUGGAGUUGGGAGAGGGAUGCGGAAUUCCAGGUGUAGCGGUGAAAUGCGUAGAUAUCGGGAGGAACACCUGUGGCGAAAGCGGCUCACUGGACCACAACUGACGCUGAGGCGCGAAAGCUAGGGGAGCAAACAGG
rnacentral:rRNA from 1 species